UACGUAGGGGCCUAGCGUUGUCCGGAUUUAUUGGGCGUAAAGAGCGUGUAGGCGGCCAGACAAGUCUGCUGUGAAAACUCGAGGCUCAACCUCGAGCUGUCGGUGGAAACUGUCUGGCUAGAGUCCGGAAGAGGAGAGUGGAAUUCCUGGUGUAGCGGUGAAAUGCGCAGAUAUCAGGAAGAACACCUAUGGCGAAGGCAGCUCUCUGGGACGGUACUGACGCUGAGACGCGAAAGCGUGGGGAGCGAACAGG
rnacentral:rRNA from 1 species